rnacentral:rRNA from 1 species
AGCUCCGGGGGGGUAUACUAAAGUUGCUGCGCUUGAAAAGUUCGUAGUUGAUCAGCUACCUGUAUACAGUUAAUGGCCGGAGACUGUGUCUCUUGGCCGCACAGUAUCUGGUAUAUCCUUUACUCUCCUUGGAGGGUUUCAGGGAUUUACUUUGAGAAAAUUAAAGCGUUCCACGCAGGCAUUUGCCGUGAGUAUUAAAGCAUGGAAUAAUAAAAAUAAGACUGAGGUUUUUAUUGGUUCACAAACCACAGUAACGAUUAAUAGGAGCAGGAGGGGGCAUUUGUAUUGGGCAGACAGAGGUGAAAUUCUUAGACCUGCCCACGACAAACAACUGCGAAAGCAUUUGCCCAACAUGUUUUCA